rnacentral:lncRNA from 1 species
UCUCGAUCUCCUGACCUCGUGAUCCACCCGCCUCCAUCUCCCAAAGUACUGGGAUUACAGGCGUGAGCCACCGCGCCCGGCCAUUUGUUGCUGAAUUUAAACCGCACUGCAAAAGUCUCUUGAAAUGUAUCUUAAACUGAAGAAAUUAUUGUCAGUUCUGCCGAUUACCUGUCCUGGUCUCACCUGAAAAAAGAAAAAAAAAAGAGAACAUUUAAGGGAAACUGAAGACAGAAGAUUCAACUACAUGGCAACCUAAAAGCAAGCAUGGACAGUUCCUUGGUGAAUAACCAAAAACAAGUAGAGAUAGGAAUCUCACUA